rnacentral:rRNA from 1 species
UACGGAGGGAGCUAGCGUUGUUCGGAAUUACUGGGCGUAAAGCGCACGUAGGCGGCGAUUCAAGUCAGAGGUGAAAGCCCGGGGCUCAACCCCGGAACUGCCUUUGAAACUAGAUUGCUAGAAUCUUGGAGAGGCGAGUGGAAUUCCGAGUGUAGAGGUGAAAUUCGUAGAUAUUCGGAAGAACACCAGUGGCGAAGGCAGCUCGCUGGGACGGUACUGACACUGAGGCGCGAAAGCGUGGGGAGCGAACAGG